rnacentral:rRNA from 1 species
GAUGAACGCUAGCUACAGGCUUAACACAUGCAAGUCGAGGGGCAGCGGUAUCGAAAGCUUGCUUUCGGUAGCCGGCGACCGGCGCACGGGUGAGUAACGCGUAUCGAACCUGCCUCAUACUCGGGAAUAGCCUUGCGAAAGUAAGAUUAAUGCCCGGUGUUUUCAGAGUCCCGCAUGAGGCUUUGAACAAAGAUUUAUCGGUAUGAGAUGGCGAUGCGUCCCAUUAGCUUGUUGGCGGGGUAACGGCCCACCAAGGCAUCGAUGGGUAGGGGUUCUGAGAGGAAGGUCCCCCACAUUGGAACUGAGACACGGUCCAAACUCCUACGGGAGGCAGCAGUGAGGAAUAUGGGUCAAUGGGCGGAAGCCUGAACCAGCCAAGUAGCGUGCAGGAAGACGGCCCUCCGGGUUGUAAACUGCUUUUAGUUGGGAAUAAAACGGGGCUCGUGAGCCCCCUUGCAUGUACCAUCAGAAAAAGGACCGGCUAAUUCCGUG